UAUAUUUAAUUGCUUAAUAAACUGCCUAAGAGAAGUAGCUGAUUUAAAUUUAAAUAAAAAAAAUAUAUUCGUUAAAUAAAAAUAAAAUUUCCGGUUAAUUCCACCAUGUUGGUUUUAAUCAAUCAAUCUUCGAAAAAAUCGAUUCUGGGGGGAAUCAAUCUUGAAUCAUACAUCCCUACCCGGAAUAAAUAUUUCAUCAACCACGCGGUGUGGUAACCUAUAAUUUGUAUCAACUAAAUCCACAAUUAUAAAUUAUCUUUCUUUUUUCUGUGUCAAUAAUAAUCAACAUCAUCACUACCAUCAUCAUCAUCAAGAAUAUCCGCUAUUUACACAUCAAGACGUCAAAUAAUCAAAAGAAGUCAUCGCCCGAUGGUCCAGGCAUUCCAAGAGCUGCCGCUCGGACGAUGCAGACAUUCCUGCAGGCAGUCGAUAAGGGAAUUCGAUUACCCUUCAUCAGAACUGCUGUGUAGAUUACAAGUCCAGCAGCCAGUCAUUUGGAAAAACCUAAAUCCAGCUGUUUAAGAAAAGUAGCCAUCGAAACAGUUCUACAACUUCACUUCGGGAGGAUUCAAGCAUUCAGUCACCUCUUCAAAUGGAGUCAACGUUUUACGAUAGUUUUUUUUAUAUACAUGUAUAUUGUCAAUUUUUCUUGAUAAUCAAAACACAAAGGGAUUUUUCGUCAUAAAUUAAGUUUAAAAUGUUAAAUUUAUAAUUGAACAAAAAUUUUACAAAAUUAUUUCUUGACGAAAUAAUAAAAAAGAAUUGAUUCUUGUAUUAAACAAUCACUAGCAGAAUUUAUCUCUAUCGAGCAAAGUUUAUAAAAUAUUGAAUAAUUAUACCCUAAUAAAUUGAGUUUCAUU